GAGUGAGAGAGAAGGAAAGAGAGUCCCCAGCAGAAGCUCUUAACUUCAGUUGAAGAGAAAUCAGAUUUUUGUCAUGUAAAGGUAUUUAAUACCUAAGAGUCUACCAGUAAGGGAGAAUGCAAGAGCUUGUCCCAUUGCGGUAAUGCACAAGAUCCUGUAAAUGGUCUGGAUGCUGGUUUGAGUUAACUCCUCAGCCCAAAAUUUCAUCACUAGUGAGUGCAGUGUGGUGCUUUUUGCCUGUGACGGCUAAGCACUUGGACUCAGCAUCACACUUCGACUCAGUGUCGUGUUUCGGCAGUGUAACUAGUAAGCUAAGAUAUAAAACCAGAAGGAAUUUUAAAAAUUCAAUUGAUCUUAGUAUUUUAUGAUCCUUCCAUUUGAUUUAGUGAUGCUUAUUUAAUUUCAUGUUUUUCAGUUCUGCACUGUUAGGAUUACAUAUGCCAUAUGAGAAUUUGUUUAAAGAUCAUUUUUAUUGGAAGUAAAAUAAAAACUGGAAACCUUUCUGUUAUUCUAAGGCUUUAUAACAGCUUGUUUGUACAAAAUCUAAAUUUGGAACCAGAUUUGACUUGUCCUUUAAAACAAUAACAGCCUCAGAACACUGCUAAUAAAUGCUGGGGAUUUGUCAGUGCUCAAACAAGUUUGACGAUAUUUGAAUUAUUAGCCUUUACACUGUUGGAGUUCGGGCUAUGGGUCUGCUUUGUACUUUCCUAAAAUGCAUAUCAGCUAUACUUAUUGUUCAUAGCUGCCCAUACUUUUUUGAUAUUUCCAUCUAUUAAUCAUUUGUUAACCCUUUAUAAACCAUUUAUAAAUGUACCCUGAAUGAAAAAAUCGUGUGACCUUUCAGUUUUUGCCUCAAGUUUAAUAUUAAAGGCAAGUCCAAGGUCAAGAUGGGCACAGGGACCUCUUUAGGGGAGCUGGUGUGGUUUAUAUUUUGGCCAGUCAGCUGAGGAACCACGUGGAACUAAAAUUAGUAAAGUGUGUGCAGUGAAGAAAGUUCACACAGUGUAAUACGCUGUGGGCAGUAUUAGCGUUGAUUUACCCAAUCUGUUAAUGGUGUGGUCUGUCCAGACCUUUGGAACAUUCCUUAGCUCCUUAUUUAAUGUAGGAGGAAUCAUUUCUGAAAUUAGCAUAUAAAUUGUUCAGAGUCAGCAGCCCUUUAAAAUGCUGUUCUACCUUUGUGUCAUGGCACAAUAACUGUUUCAUAAAAACAUAAAAGCCCCGAUCAGGCAUGUUCUCAUGGAGAAGCUCUCAACUUUAGAUUGCAUGCUGAAAAAGUGCAUAAACCUGAGAAAAUUCAUUAAGUUUAAUAUGGGGAAAUGGUCAGGAUUUGAUUUGGCCUUUGUGGAUUGAUCCACCAGUGAUGGGAAACACUGUGGUCUGCACUACUGGGCGUGAGAAGGCAACCUGUAUUGUAAUCCUGCCUUAGAGGUGCCUGUUUUGCAGGAGACCAAAAGAGGUCAUGGAUCUUGGAGGCGAUGGUGGUGGAUCAAGCUCCAUCUCAGUGGUCUGAACGCUCCGUAAUCAUCCCCAGGGCUUAUGACGCUAUAAGUAUUUUGACAGUACUCAAAAAUUACCCUAUCUUAUUUUAAAAUAGGAAGCAGUAGUGAGGCAGAAGGAUAGCUAUGGUCCACAGGGUUUACUUUAAGGGAUUCCAUUUACAAGAUGGUGUGUUUCUGUUAAUUACAUGGGCAGAAUUUUCUUAAGAAUACAAAUUACUCUCAUUAGAUGAGUGCACCUGUAAUUUCUUCUUUGUCAUUCAGUAAACUUGGUUACUCUAGGGAAAUAUCUAUUUCUUAUAUGCUAUGUUAUCAUUUGUACAUCUAUGAAAUUACUUCUCUCCAUUUUUGCAGUAUAAAAUCUUGCUAUGAAAAUGAUUGGUUUACAGUCAUAGGUAUAGUUUAGAUGAGUGCUUCGGUAGAAUACAGUUCAUUCAGAACAGGGAAGUUUACUUAUCUCAGGCUCUCAUGCAACAGAAUAAACAAAAUGAAAAAUUAAAUGAAACUAAUCUUUUUGUUAAAAAUAACUCUCCUGGAAAGGACUGUAUUAAGAGCUUAUCUUUUAAGAACAUGACACAAGAAGUCUGAAAAUCAUCACAGUAUAAACACUACGGUUAGGAUGAGAAAAUGCAAACAACAAAUGUAAGAAACCUGCACACGUAGGGACAUAUUCAAAGAGAUCUUUGCAUAGCAAGGAGUAUCAGGCUUCUCAUCUGAUCUGCAAGAAUUGAUAUUGAAGAGGAUAAAAUUAAGUCCUUUCCUUUGCAAUCAAACUUGCUUUCUUUUGCCUAGAC